rnacentral:rRNA from 1 species
GACAGAGGGUGCAAACGUUGUUCGGAAUUACUGGGCGUAAAGGGCGCGUAGGCGGCCUACUAAGUCGGACGUGAAAUCCCUCGGCUCAACCGGGGAACUGCGUCCGAUACUGGUGGGCUCGAAUCCGGGAGAGGGAUGUGGAAUUCCAGGUGUAGCGGUGAAAUGCGUAGAUAUCGGGAGGAACAUCAGUUGCGAAGGCGGCUCUCUGGACCAGCACUGACACUGAGGCACGAAAGCGUGGGGAGCAAACAGG